AGCAUGCCGCGGUGAAUACGUUCCCGGGCCUUGUACACACCGCCCGUCACACCAUGGAAGUUGGUAACACCCGAAGCCUGUAGCCUAACCGCAAGGAGGGCGCAGUCGAAGGUGGGAUUGAUGACUGGGGUGAAGUCGUAACAAGGUACC
rnacentral:rRNA from 1 species